rnacentral:rRNA from 1 species
UAGCGUAUAUUAAAGUUGUUGCAGUUAAAAAGCUCGUAGUUGGAUCUCAGGGUGAGCUCAGUUGGUCGGCCUAAUUGGUCAGAACUGGCUGACUCUCCCUUGUUUCUGAAUCCCGGUCGGAGUUAAUUCUUCGUUCGUGGACUUCAGAUCGUUUACCUUGAAAAAAUUAGAGUGUUCAAAGCGGGCGUUUGCUUGAAUACAUUAGCAUGGAAUAAUGGAAUAGGACCCUGGUUCUAUUUUGUUGGUUUUGAGGACCAGAGUAAUGAUUAAUAGGGAUAGUUGGGGGCAUUCAUAUUUAAUUGUC